rnacentral:rRNA from 1 species
UACGGAGGAUGCAAGCGUUAUCCGGAAUGAUUGGGCGUAAAGCGUCCGCAGGCGGCUGUGCAAGUCUGUCGUCAAAGAGCGAAGCUCAACUUCGUAAAGGCAGUGGAAACUACACGGCUAGAGUGCGUUCGGGGCAGAGGGAAUUCCUGGUGUAGCGGUGAAAUGCGUAGAGAUCAGGAAGAACACCAGUGGCGAAGGCGCUCUGCUGGGCCGCAACUGACGCUGAGGGACGAAAGCUAGGGGAGCGAAUGGG